rnacentral:rRNA from 1 species
UGAGCGCUGGCGGCAGGCCUACCACAUGCAAGUCGAACGGUAACAGAAAGCAGCUUGCUGCUUUGCUGACGAGUGGCGGACGGGUGAGUAAUGUCUGGGAAACUGCCUGAUGGAGGGGGAUAACUACUGGAAACGGUAGCUAAUACCGCAUAACGUCGCAAGACCAAAGAGGGGGACCUUCGGGCCUCUUGCCAUCGGAUGUGCCCAGAUGGGAUUAGCUAGUAGGUGGGGUAACGGCCCACCUAGGCGACGAUCCCUAGCUGGUCUGAGAGGAUGACCAGCCACACUGGAACUGAGACACGGUCCAGACUCCUACGGGAGGCAGCAGUGGGGAAUAUUGCACAAUGGGCGCAAGCCUGAUGCAGCCAUGCCGCGUGUAUGAAGAAGGCCUUCGGGUUGUAAAGUACUUUCAGCGGGGAGGAAGGGAGUAAAGUUAAUACCUUUGCUCAUUGACGUUACCCGCAGAAGAAGCACCGGCUAACUCCGUG